ensembl:lncRNA
CUGAUGUACGAAGGGCUACAUAAAUACAUUUGAUUUGAUUUGUUUGUUUUCAGGAUGACAUCUUCAUCCCUGAAAAUGUUUUCAUCCUGGUGGAGACUGUGCAGGAGGCAUGUGGAAAGAACGGUUAGUGCAUCAUGCCAAACUGACCACCUGGUGCCAGAGUGUUCCUGUGCUGCGGUGGAGAAGAGGUCCAGCGGGACCAUCACCAAAGAGCUCAGGGCCCAGCUAGAUUGCGCUCAGAACCAUCAGUAUACAAUCGAGUCCUGCCCCUAUACGCCACAGAUGGAGCUGACGGAGAGUGAGAUCAGUGAAGACCAUAACUCGCUGUAUGGACCUGAGAGCUCAGAAUCACAAUCAUCUCAGUGUGAGCCAAGAUAUACUAUCGAUCACUUUGGGGGAGCGGGAUGGUGUUCUGAAAAUGGAGAAGGAGCAGGCCAUUCAACAGCCAAUUCAAAGAUACACCCAUCCAUAAAGGGAAUCCGAGUGGAAUUGUUUUUCCACAUAUAUAUAUUUUUUUACCCAUUUCAAUGGAUGUGCUACCUUGUCCCAGUUCUGCUUUUUCGACUCUCUCUCUCAACCUAUGAACGCUCAGCUAGGAAAAGCCAAUUGACAUUUGCUCCUGAGGUGUUGAACUGUUACACCCUCUGUAAUCACUGUGGUUAUUAUUUCUGAUGUAAAAAGGGCUUUUGGACAAAUAUAUUUGAUUGAUUGAUUGUUUGCUGUGC